UCUAAGGCUGUGUUAGAGGAAGUAACAGGUUGAUGUGAAUGGAGCAGAGUUCUAAGGCUGUGUUAGAGGAAGUAACAGGUUGACGUGAAUGGAGCAGAGUUCUAAGGCUGUGUUAGAGGAAGUAACAGGUUGACGUGAAUGGAGCAGAGUUCUAAGGCUGUGUUAGAGGAAGUAACAGGUUGAUGUGAAUGGAGCAGAGUUCUAAGGCUGUGUUAGAGGAAGUAACAGGUUGAUGUGAAUGGAGCAGAGUUCUAAGGCUGUGUUAGAGGAAGUAACAGGUUGAUGUGAAUGGAGCAGAGUUCUAAGGCUGUGUUAGAGGAAGUAACAGGUUGACGUGAAUGGAGCAGAGUUCUAAGGCUGUGUUAGAGGAAGUAACAGGUUGAUGUGAAUGGAGCAGAGUUCUAAGGCUGUGUUAGAGGAAGUAACAGGUUGACGUGAAUGGAGCAGAGUUCUAAGGCUGUGUUAGAGGAAGUAACAGGUUGAUGUGAAUGGAGCAGAGUUCUAAGGCUGUGUUAGAGGAAGUAACAGGUUGACGUGAAUGGAGCAGAGUUCUAAGGCUGUGUUAGAGGAAGUAACAGGUUGACGUGAAUGGAGCAGAGUUCUAAGGCUGUGUUAGAGGAAGUAACAGGUUGACGUGAAUGGAGCAGAGUUCUAAGGCUGUGUUAGAGGAAGUAACAGGUUGACGUGAAUGGAGCAGAGUUCUAAGGCUGUGUUAGAGGAAGUAACAGGUUGACGUGAAUGGAGCAGAGUUCUAAGGCUGUGUUAGAGGAAGUAACAGGUUGACGUGAAUGGAGCAGAGUUCUAAGGCUGUGUUAGAGGAAGUGACAGGUUCAUGUGAGGCUGAAGCAGAAUUUUAAGGCUGUGUUCUAAGGCUGGUCUAUGUAAGUCCUAGCUGUUCCUGCCUGUCAUGAGGCAGCACACUGUGACUACCUGGUAAUUGUAUGGCUCAUUGGUACUGGCACAAACACACACAUGCACAUGCGCACACACAUUCACAUUAACACACACACGCAUGCACGCACACAGACAGAACAUCACAGCCAUAUCACAACUCAUUCUGACCUGGUGACGUCACUGUGUGUGUGUGUGCGCGCGAGUGUUUGUUGAAGUUGAGUUCUAAUGUUGAAUGUCAAAUCAAAUCAAAGUUUUUUGGUCACAGCUCUCCACAACAGUGCAAUAUAAAGGCAUGAAAAAAUACACAAAAAAACAAUCAUGUUUUGUUUGGGAAUAUCACACCUGGUAUUUAAAAUACUGUUCUGUGUAUUUGAGUAUGUUUUAAUACACAGCCCAAAACAAAUACCUUUAUUUGAUUAUUUCACAGUAUGUUCGUAUACUUAUCUCAAAUUCU